CGGCGGACGGGUGAGUAACGCGUAGGAAUCUACCUGGUAGUGGGGGGACAACUUGGGGAAACUCAAGCUAAUACCGCAUACGCCCUAAGGGGGAAAGUGGGGGGAUCUUCGGACCUCACGCUAUCGGAUGAGCCUGCGUAGGAUUAGCUAGUUGGUGAGGUAAAGGCUCACCAAGGCGACGAUCCUUAGCUGGUCUGAGAGGAUGAUCAGCCACACUGGGACUGAGACACGGCCCAG
rnacentral:rRNA from 1 species